rnacentral:rRNA from 1 species
AGAGUUUGAUCAUGGCUCAGGAUGAACGCUAGCGGCAGGCUUAACACAUGCAAGUCGAGGGGCAGCGGGGUGUAGCAAUACACUGCCGGCGACCGGCGCACGGGUGCGUAACGCGUGUGCAACCUACCCAUAACAGGGGCAUAACACUGAGAAAUUGGUACUAAUUCCCCAUAACAUUCGAAGAGGCAUCUCUUUGGGUUGAAAACUCCGGUGGUUAUAGAUGGGCAUGCGUUGUAUUAGCUAGUUGGG